UACGUAGGGUGCGAGCGUUGUCCGGAAUUAUUGGGCGUAAAGAGCUCGUAGGCGGUGUGUCACGUCGGCCGUGAAAACCUGCAGCUUAACUGUGGGCGUGCGGUCGAUACGGGGCAUCACUGGAGUUCGGCAGGGGAGACUGGAAUUCCUGGUGUAGCGGUGAAAUGCGCAGAUAUCAGGAGGAACACCGGUGGCGAAGGCGGGGUCUCUGGGCCGAUACUGACGCUGAGGAGCGAAAGCGUGGGGGAGCGAACAGG
rnacentral:rRNA from 1 species